GUUGGUUUAUUAUUGCUAUAGUCAUAAUGUUAGUUACUAUGUGAAUGUAUAUUAUCUAUGUGAAAUCAGGUAGCGAUAGUUACCAGUUACCGUAUUUGGUUGUGUAUAACCCGCGGUCGGGGCGACCUCUUUUUGUAAGGAGGGGGUAAUGUGACGUUUUUGACAGAUAACAGUGCCUAAAUUUUUAUUGAUAUUGUCUACAUAGUUUUGGCUAUAGUUCUUCCAACCCUACUUUGUAUUAUUUUAUUAAAGCAGUAAAUGUGUGUAUUUUAUUUCAUUAUUACCUAUAUCAUUGUUUAAUCGUUUUAAUAUUGUAUGUUCCAGAAUGAUAGAAAACGUGUGUUUUCUUACCG
rnacentral:lncRNA from 1 species